GGGGAGAUUCCUGAGCGGUCAAAGGGGGCAGACUGUAAAUCUGUUGUUUCGGCUUCGCAGGUUCGAAUCCUGCUCUCCCCA
rnacentral:tRNA from 1 species